rnacentral:lncRNA from 1 species
CUUAUAGCUAUCAGCUCUAGAAAUCCUUUUACAGAGCAUUUUCCAGUCUAAACGUUCAUGGAAAGUUCCUAAAAUCCCGAAAAUUUUAUAACAACUCAAUUCACUUAAAUCUUCACUUUUUCUUCCAAAACCCACUUCUCGAUUACUACACUAAACCUCAAAAAACCAUUCUUUAUCAAAGUUAAUUGUUCUUAUACUGCCUUGGGGGCUGUUUUUGGGGGAGUCAAAUUUAUUCAGAUGAGUGAAUGGGACUGGCCAAGUACGGGCUCCGGGCUCCUAGGAUGGGUGCUGAGGUGGGUCCAAUUUUGGACCGAAUUUUCCAACCCGAAAGGAAUCUGUAAGGGGCUAAAAAAAUUUGUGAUUGGCCUGUAGAUAGCUAAAAAGGUCAUCUUUUUCAGUUUAAUGACGAUUCGGUGGUUUUUUUUUUUUUUUUUUUGUGUGGUCUGAGUUGAAUUGUUUUAGAUUCUCUUGCCUCAAAUUGAAGAAUGAUAUUGUCAUUGAUGUUAAAUUGAAUCUACUGAUUGCAGGUCCUUUCUGUAGCAGUUUAUACUCAAUACAAGAGGUUAUAUAAUGAUUCCGCCCAAAGGUA